CAGUCGCCGCGGUAAUACGAAGGGGGCUAGCGUUGUUCGGAAUUACUGGGCGUAAAGGGCGCGUAGGCGGCCAUUCAAGUUAGAUGUGAAAGCCCUGGGCUCAACCUAGGAAUUGCAUUUGAUACUGUUUGGCUUGAGUUCGGGAGAGGUGAGUGGAAUUCCCAGUGUAGAGGUGAAAUUCGUAGAUAUUGGGAAGAACACCAGUGGCGAAGGCGGCUCACUGGACCGACGCUGACGCUGAGGCGCGAAAGCGUGGGGAGCAAACAGGAUUAGAUACCCCCGUAGUCCCUGUCUCUUAUAC
rnacentral:rRNA from 1 species